AGAGGAAUAGCUGGGUCAAUUGGUGGUUCCAUUCCCAGCUUUCCAAGGAAUCUCCAUACUGCUUUCUAAAUUGGCUGCACCAAUUUGCAGUUCCACCAGCUAU
rnacentral:pre_miRNA from 1 species